UUGGCUGUGAUGGAAUUUUACUACCUAUUUUCUGAUAGGGAGUUUUCUCUCUUCUGAUUGAAGAUAAUACCAAUGGAUCCUUCUGAGCCU
rnacentral:snoRNA from 1 species